GGCCUGCUGGCCCAAUGGUAAGGCGUCUGACUACGGAUCAGAAGAUUGCAGGUUCGAAUCCUGCGUAGGUCA
rfam:Aspergillus terreus NIH2624 scaffold_9 genomic scaffold, whole genome shotgun sequence.